GGCUGCGCAUAUGAAGCUCGCGUGCUCGGCGACCCGUCUUUUUAGGAUGUAGCCCGUUUUUUGGGGGCUCCCGGCGUUCUUUUGCGUUCCGUAUGCAUUUCGGCACGGCCCAGCUGCACUAUACUGGACUACAACAAGACAGACUACCUCACCAGGUUAGAUCGUGUUCUAUCAGCAAGACUCAACAUGAACUCAACGAGCGACCAUGAAAGCGGAGAAGCUCAAGCUGCUACUUCAUCAGUUCGUAACAGACCGGCCUUGCCGCAGAGCAGCGCGGAGUCGCAGCAUACCGCAACAUUCAGGUCGGAGCACUGGGAUCGUAUGAUUGACAGCCAAGAGCGAGAGCUCAUGGACGACCAAGUGAUAAAGACUGUCUGUCAGCAUUACUUAAAUGCGAUCGUUGAUGAGGUUGCCCGAUUGCGUGCAACGGCGUUGAUACCCGAGCUGCCACGCGAAAUGCUGACAGAGCUCGGACUGGACAACUUUGUCUAUGCAAUGAAGAGUAUGACCAGGUUAACUCUUGAGAAAGACUUCGUAGCCGCAUUCAUGGAUAAGUACGGAAACAGUGCGGCCUCGGACUGUACUGGCCACCAACUCCUGACACCCGGCAACCCCCGUCCCCGUGAUUUGGAAGAAGUGCUCAAGGUUUACGGUCUGCUGGACGCCUGCCAAGGCCAUGGAACUCCAGCGAGUCUUCCCCCAAGGCCUGAUGAGCGUCCAUCAUGAGAGCUUGGCUUUCUGAAUAAAAUAUUUUUUGCACAACAA